GAUGAACGCUGGCGGCGUGCCUAAUACAUGCAAGUCGAGCGAACGGACGAGAAGCUUGCUUCUCUGAUGUUAGCGGCGGACGGGUGAGUAACACGUGGAUAACCUACCUAUAAGACUGGGAUAAUUUCGGGAAACCGGAGCUAAUACCGGAUGAUAUUCUGAACCGCAUGGUUCAAAAGUGAAAGACGGUCUUGCUGUCACUUAUAGAUGGAUCCGCGCUGCAUUAGCUAGUUGGUAGGGUAACGGCUUACCAAGGCAACGAUGCAUAGCCGACCUGAGAGGGUGAUCGGCCACACUGGAACUGAGACACGGUCCAGACUCCUACGGGAGGCAGCAGUAGGGAAUCUUCCGCAAUGGGCGAAAGCCUGACGGAGCAACGCCGCGUGAGUGAUGAAGGUCUUCGGAUCGUAAAACUCUGUUAUUAGGGAAGAACAUAUGUGUAAGUAACUGUGCACAUCUUGACGGUACCUAAUCAGAAAGCCACGGCUAACUACGUG
rnacentral:rRNA from 1 species